AAAUCCUUGCAGCAGAUCCCACAACCAUUCACUAUGAACAAUUAUAGAGAUCACCAUUAAGCCACCCAUUCACUUGUUCACUCAUUGUGAACUAUUUUUUUGUUCACCCUUAAGGCUGCCCUAAGGCUUCUUCCUUCUCCUCUCGGCGCUCCCACUCUCUAUCUCCUCCAUUGGAGCAGUUUCUGAGGUACAAAACAAAAGAAUUUAUGAUUUAUUUUUUGUUUAUUUCUUUUGUUCAUCUAUUCGAUUAGAUUUUUCCUCUUAUAAGAAUGGAGGCGGGAACAGCAGCAGCGAAACCAAUAAUCAAUGUCGCUGCCAUUUGCGGCUCCUUUCCAUACAACAUAGACCUCCUCCGAGCAGGCGGAAGGAGUAAGACGGAGCAAGGUUUGGUGGAUUCGAGUUUGAGUUUUCGAUUGAAUUUGAUAUCAAAUGGCUCUUACAUAGCAACUUGCUACAAAGGACAAGGAUUAGAGUCGGGAGAGUCUUGGGAAAGGAAUACCUAUUGUGUCUUUCUCCAUUGGUGACUCUGCAGAAUUUUUAUAUGGUGAUCAGGCAGAUGCUGAAAAGGCUGAUAAGAUUAAAUUAGAAUCUGGAGAUGUUCUAAUAUUCGGAGGAAGUUUGUUAUUGCCUGAUUGACCGGAUAAGUUUUGAGAUGCUACCUACAUUACAUCCUUGGAGUUGAUAUUGAUGAUACAAUGUAGUUAUAUCAUCACCCCUUCUCUGUGGAUAGCCAAAAGGCAAGGCUUGCACUUGAAGAGAAUCAAAUUGAUUAUACAUUUAUUACAUGGAUGCAUCAUUCUUCAUUCUGUCAUGCUGUCAUGUUUAAAUACAAGAAACAAAAGGUUGAGGACAAAUUAAAGGUUCUUUUGGAGACUGUCCCUGUACACAAAGAAAGUGGCGGAUAUAUAUUUGUUGCAAGCUUUGAAAUAAGCCUCAAGGAGCAAACAGGAAAGAUAAGUUUCUUAGAUCCAAUAGGGUUGAAAUAUACCCCAUAUACAAAGUUAUUAUAAAUAAGAGUGACAAUUUUGUAAUCAUUAACUAAUUACUACAGUCAUUAACAAUAGUAUGAAUUUUGGAAUCAUUCAAAAUUGGCUCAGUUUGAUUACAAUGAGACUUAUUUAAUUAAGCACUAAUUUAGGUA